UACGGGGGGGGCAAGCGUUGUUCGGAAUUACUGGGCGUAAAGGGCUCGUAGGCGGCCAACUAAGUCGGAUGUGAAAUCCCCAGGCUUAACUUGGGAACUGCAUCCGAUACUGGAUGGCUUGAAUCCGGGAGAGGGAUGCGGAAUUCCAGGUGUAGCGGUGAAAUGCGUAGAUAUCAGGAGGAACACCGGUGGCGAAGGCGGGUCUCUGGGCCGAUACUGACGCUGAGGAGCGAAAGCGUGGGGAGCGAACAGG
rnacentral:rRNA from 1 species